rnacentral:lncRNA from 10 species
UAACACUAUCAACAUAAAUAAGUAAUAGCAGUGAUUAAGUCUGUAUGGGAAGGUUGAGGGAGGUGGCAUUUGAAUCCACAUUUAAAGGAUGAAUGGAAGUUUGUUGAGAGGACAGGAUGCAGAAGCAUUUUCCAGAGAGAGGGAAUAGCAUGGACAAAGACCUGAAGGCAUGAACAACACAGCGUGUUUGUAGUUUAGUUUAUCUAAAGCAAGGUGCAAGGUAGGAGCCGUGGAAUCAGAGCUAUGGAGGACACUGCAAUCUCUCCCUCAUAAGUGAGCACCUCGGAUUUAACUGUCCAGCAUCAUUUGGAGCACAGGGCGGAGGAUUAUACCGAGGAACCACACCCAUGUCAUUUGAAUUGUCCACAAGACCACUAUAAGGACUUUCCAGGACCAUCACAAGGCUGCAAACCGCAUUUGAAGUGCUGCUUCUGGGGCAUUCUUUCCAAAGAGCCUUUUAGCAGGGCAGGGAGUGAAAGGUGAGGACAAGCCUAGGAAAUACAUAAUCCAAGGCUAGGGAGAUAGAAGCUUAAUAUUUACUGCCGUGCCUGGGAAAAGUGAGGCUUGUCGUUGUCAUCUGGGCAAUUCUCCCUCGGACUAGCUCCUCUCUGUGGCCUCCUGGGGUAACUAAUGUCUUCCAGCAGCACUUCUUGCUCCAGGAAUCUGGAAUCUUAGCUGAGUGCUAUGAAGACGGUUCUGAUUAAUUGAUACACUUAAGGUAUGCACUAUCGGUUGCUAUCCUAAUCCUCCCAGGAGAUUACCUUUUCAAAGCGCUGGAAGAUUAACGAGAAUUUCAGAUGCCGUAGCAAUUUGAAGGGAAAAAAUUGUGGCCUCCACAGUGCCAGCUUGCCUGCCAUGAGGGAGACAUAUUUGAGAGUCCUUCAGCUCCCUGUGGGCUGUACAUCCAAGCAAGAAAGUCCAGAUCUUGCAUCUGAGUUGGCAACUGAAGGAAGAGACCUUGAAUCAGCACAGCAGUCAGAAUUCUGCUUGAGGGCAGCUUUGCUGAAACUAAAAGGAACAACUUUAUCUAGAACAGUCUCUCUGCACAUUCGCUUUCCCCUGUGGCAGUUGCGAUGUUAGAUUAAGUCUAUGUAUAUGUAGGGCAGAAGCGAAGUGCAGGAGGGGGUGGAGAGAAUGAUGGGAAAGAAAAGGCUCCUUCUAAACACACAUGUAUGUCAGCAUUACCAGGUGCUCUGCUGAAACCGGUAGGAUGAACACCUUCCGAACAGGCUGCAUUCCUCCCGAGGAAACUGAAGAGUGUAACCUCACAGUGAAAUUCCCCCCAAGUCUUUGGCUCUGCAGGAAGCUUCUGGCUAUUUUUCAGGAGAUGCGUUUGCUGCAGGAGGAGUUGGUACCAGUCUUCAGUUCUCAGCCUGUAGGCCCCUGACAUGGGGCACUACUCUGUACAGUUCCAGAAACCAACAACAGCCAUUUAGCAGGAGUGUUGAAACUGCAGAUUGUUCUCCACUGUUCUUCACUGUGGCUGUGUUUGGAACUACCAAAUACUAAUCCUCAGAACUUGGUCUUGGACCUGGUUAUAAAUCUCAUUCCUGCAACUCUGAACAGUGUGAUCUUGGGAGAGUUACUUAAUUUUUCUGAGUCUCAGUUUUUCUUAUCUAUAAAAUGAAGUUAGUAAUAGUAUGGACUUCAUAUAACGUAUGUGAUGAUUAAAUUACAGAGCACAUGUAAUGUGUGUAGCACAAUGCGUGGUACAUAACUAGGCCUCAACAAAUGGCCCAACAAUGUGUUGUUGGUCUAGGGUGGGAGACAGUAAUCUCCCUUUGACUGUCAUUAUCUUUUGACUGGGAAGAUUGGGUAGGCAACAAUGUUGCCUGUUUGCUGUACUUAGCUCUACUUUACUUUUUAUUUUUUUAUUUUUUUGAGACAGAGUCUCACUCUGUCACCCAGACUGGAGUGCAAUGGCACAAUCUUGGCUCACCACACCCUCCAUCUCCCAGAUUCAAGCAAUUCUCCUGCUUCAGCCUCUCAAGUUGCUGGGAUUACAGGCAUGUGCCACCAUGCCCAGCUAAUUUUUUGUAUUUUUAGUAGAGACAGCGUUUCACCAUGUUAGCCAAGCUGGUCUCAAACUCCUGACUUCAGGUGAUCCACCCACCUCAGCCUCCCAAAGUGCUGGGAUUACAGCUGUGAGCCACCGCACCCAGCCGUCUACUUCAUUCUUGCUUGGUUGUUUGCUUCCUGCUCUCACCAAAUUGUAAAGCUCACUGAGGACAUGAACUAAGAUUCUGUGGCCAACAGGGUCUUUCUAUAUAGUAGAUAGUCAAUAAAUAUUUGUAGAUGGAUGCAUGGAUAUUUUUUCAACUGACUAUUUGAAUAUGACUUCUGAUACAUAUGAGUAUCAGUACCCAGGGAAUACAUGAUCCAAGGCUGGGGAGACAUGGGCUUAAUAUUUACUAACAUUUUCCCUUACCUGCCACCUGCUUCUCUUGAGACAUUAAAUCCAAAGGCUAUAAAUCCUGCUGCUUUGCAUGGCUGGGUUAGAUUGCAUAUGAGAAUUUUGCAAAGCAAAAAAGAUACAUCACACCAACUGGCCUCUCAAUGUAUGCUCCCCUCAAAAGGCUUUCAAGCCAAAAAUCCCUAAGCAGUAAUUAUGUGCAAGGCAAAG